AUCUGUGACGGGAAUUAUUUACA
rnacentral:snRNA from 1 species